rnacentral:rRNA from 1 species
UACGGAGGGAGCUAGCGUUGUUCGGAAUUACUGGGCGUAAAGCGCACGUAGGCGGCUUUGUAAGUUAGAGGUGAAAGCCCGGGGCUCAACCCCGGAAUUGCCUUUAAGACUGCAUCGCUUGAAUCCGGGAGAGGUGAGUGGAAUUCCGAGUGUAGAGGUGAAAUUCGUAGAUAUUCGGAAGAACACCAGAGGCGAAGGCGGCUACCUGGACAAUUGCUGACGCUCAGGCACGAAAGCGUGGGGAGCAAAAGGG